rnacentral:lncRNA from 1 species
CUCAUUUGUCUCUUGCCUCUGCCAUGUUAGAAGUGCCUUUCGCCUCCCACCAUGACUCUGAGGCCUACACAGCCACGUCGAACUGCAAGUCCACUUAAACCUCUUUUCGUUCCCAGUUUCAGUGUGGUGGAAAAGGAAGAGAGAGCUGAGGCAGACGAUGUAAGAUCUGCUGUUACUUCUUGCUGUGUGACCUUGGAGUAAAGACAGCUUUGGAGAAAGACAGACCUGGAUUCAAAUGCAGAUCUCUUCCUUACUAGAUGGGCAUGCUUGGGUGAAGUGAAGUGGGUGUGCCUGGGAUCACACACAGCUGGAAAAUCAGGCCAUGUUUGUGUCCACAAACAAGAGUGAAGAUAAUCUCUCCUAUCUGAGAAAUCCAGGAGUGGAGGAAUCCAAUGGGAACUCUGGCCAAGCUAAAAGAAGGUCUCAAGAGCCACAGAUGUCUUGGAUAUUUCUGUAUUUCAGACUCUACUACCCAGACACCAAAAGAAGAAAUGAUUAACCCUGGAGGCUGCCUUGGUCUAGGUGAAAAAAUAUAUGUACGAUGACAGUGCAAUCAUACUAGAACUCAGGAUUAAGAAACUCACUCAAAACUGCUCAACUACAUGGAAACUGAACAACCUGCUCCUGAAUGACUACUGGGUACAUAACGAAAUGAAGGCAGAAGUAAAGAUGUUCUUUGAAACCAACGAGAACAAAGACACAACAUACCAGAAUCUCUGGGACACAUUCAAAGCAGUGUGUAGAGGGAAAUUUAUAGCACUAAAUGCCCACAAGAGAAAGCAGGAAAGAUCUAAAAUUGACACCCUAACAUCACAAUUAAAAGAACUAGAGAAGCAAGAGGAAACACAUUCAAAAGCUAGCAGAAGGCAAGAAAUAACUAAAAUCAGAGCAGAACUGAAGGAAAUAGAGACACACAAGAACCCUUCAAAAAAUCAAUGAAUCCAGGGGCUGGUUUUUUGAAAAGAUCAAUAAAAUUGAUAGACCGCUAGCAAGAUUAAU